ACGGCAUGAUGGGGACAUUUUCGAAUGAGGUCCUUUAAUCUUUCCCAUGACUCGUGGAACUGCUCACCAUGUUCUUGCGAAAAGCUAGUGAGAGCUCAUCUUAUCU
rnacentral:snoRNA from 1 species